GCCUGGGUGGCUCAGUUGGUUAAGCGUCUGACUUCGGCUCAGGUCAUGAUCUCACAUUUCAUGGGUUCAAGCCUCGUGUCGGGCU
rfam:Felis catus isolate Cinnamon breed Abyssinian chromosome A1, whole genome shotgun sequence.